rnacentral:rRNA from 1 species
GACGAACGCUGGCGGCGUGCCUAAUACAUGCAAGUAGAACGCUGAAGGAGGAGCUUGCUUCUCUGGAUGAGUUGCGAACGGGUGAGUAACGCGUAGGUAACCUGCCUGGUAGCGGGGGAUAACUAUUGGAAACGAUAGCUAAUACCGCAUAAUAGUAGAUGUUGCAUGACAUUUGCUUAAAAGUUGCAAUUGCAUCACUACCAGAUGGACCUGCGUUGUAUUAGCUAGUUGGUGGGGUAACGGCUCACCAAGGCGACGAUACAUAGCCGACCUGAGAGGGGGAUCGGCCACACUGGGACUGGGACACGGCCCAGACUCCUACGGGGGGCAGCAGUAGGGGAACUUCGGAAAUGGACGGAAGUCUGACCGAGCAACGCCGGGGGAGGGAAGAAGGGUUUCGGAUCGGAAAGCUCUGUUGUAAGGGAAGAACGAGUGUGAGAGUGGAAAGUUCACACUGUGACGGUAUCUUACCAGAAAGGGACGGCUAACUACGUG